rnacentral:rRNA from 1 species
ACAAUGGUAGGAGAGCGUUCUAAGGGCGUUGAAGCAUGAUCGUAAGGACAUGUGGAGCGCUUAGAAGUGAGAAUGCCGGUGUGAGUAGCGAAAGAUGGGUGAGAAUCCCGUCCACCGAUUGACUAAGGUUUCCAGAGGAAGGCUCGUCCGCUCUGGGUUAGUCGGGUCCUAAGCUGAGGCCGACAGGCGUAGGCGAUGGAUAACAGGUUGAUAUUCCUGUACCACCUAUAAUCGUUUUAAUCGAUGGGGGGGACGCAGUAGGAUAGGCGAAGCGUGCGAUUGGAUUGCACGUCUAAGCAGUAAGGCUGAGUAUUAGGCAAAUCCGGUACUCGUUAAGGCUGAGCUGUGAUGGGGAGAAGACAUUGUGUCUUCGAGUCGUUGAUUUCACACUGCCGAGAAAAGUCUCUAGAUAGAAAAUAGGUGCCCGUACCGCAAACCGACACAGGUAGUCAAGAUGAGAAUUCUAAGGUGAGCGAGCGAACUCUCGUUAAGGAACUCGGCAAAAUGACCCCGUAACUUCGGGAGAAGGGGUGCUCUUUAGGGUUAACGCCCAGAAGAGCCGCAGUGAAUAGGCCCAAGCGACUGUUUAUCAAAAACACAGGUCUCUGCUAAACCGUAAGGUGAUGUAUAGGGGCUGACGCCUGCCCGGUGCUGGAAGGUUAAGAGGAGUGGUUAGCUUCUGCGAAGCUACGAAUCGAAGCCCCAGUAAACGGCGGCCGUAACUAUAACGGUCCUAAGGUAGCGAAAUUCCUUGUCGGGUAAGUUCCGACCCGCACGAAAGGCGUAACGAUUUGGGCACUGUCUCAACGAGAGACUCGGUGAAAUCAUAGUACCUGUGAAGAUGCAGGUUACCCGCGACAGGACGGAAAGACCCCGUGGAGCUUUACUGUAGCCUGAUAUUGAAAUUCGGCACAGCUUGUACAGGAUAGGUAGGAGCCUUUGAAACGUGAGCGUUAGCUUACGUGGAGGCGCUGGUGGGAUACUACCCUAGCUGUGUUGGCUUUCUAACCCGCACCACUUAUCGUGGUGGGAGACAGUGUCAGGCGGGCAGUUUGACUGGGGCGGUCGCCUCCUAAAAGGUAACGGAGGCGCUCAAAGGUUCCCUCAGAAUGGUUGGAAAUCAUUCAUAGAGUGUAAAGGCAUAAGGGAGCUUGACUGCGAGACCUACAAGUCGAGCAGGGUCGAAAGACGGACUUAGUGAUCCGGUGGUUCCGCAUGGAAGGGCCAUCGCUCAACGGAUAAAAGCUACCCCGGGGAUAACAGGCUUAUCUCCCCCAAGAGUUCACAUCGACGGGGAGGUUUGGCACCUCGAUGUCGGCUCAUCGCAUCCUGGGGCUGUAGUCGGUCCCAAGGGUUGGGCUGUUCGCCCAUUAAAGCGGUACGCGAGCUGGGUUCAGAACGUCGUGAGACAGUUCGGUCCCUAUCCGUCGUGGGCGUAGGAAAUUUGAGAGGAGCUGUCCUUAGUACGAGAGGACCGGGAUGGACAUACCUCUGGUGUACCAGUUGUCGUGCCAACGGCAUAGCUGGGUAGCUAUGUGUGGACGGGAUAAGUGCUGAAAGCAUCUAAGCAUGAAGCCCCCCUCAAGAUGAGAUUUCCCAACUUCGGUUAUAAGAUCCCUCAAAGAUGAUGAGGUUAAUAGGUUCGAGGUGGAAGUAUGGUGACAUGUGGAGCUGACGAAUACUAAUCGAUCGAAGACUUAAUCAA